rnacentral:lncRNA from 1 species
AAGGCACAGCACUCAUGAUUACAUGCUCAGUGCCAAAGCUGAUGGCGAGGCCGUUCUGAAAGGCCUUCAGUCUGUUUUUCAGGAGCAGGGGAUGGCGGAGUCAGUGCACACCUGGCAGGACCGUGGAUGUUUAGCCACUUACAGGAGCAAGAAUGGCAGCUUUGCCAAUUUGAGAAUUUAUCCACGUGGAUUGGUGUUGCUGGACCUUCAGAGUUGUGCAGGGCAAGCAAGAAACUGACAGCCUUUUGAACAAAA